rnacentral:lncRNA from 1 species
CAGGCACCAGAUUGGAGCAAGCAGCAGUUUAGGAGGAACUGCAGCGGAGUUUGGAAAGUGGGAGGGAAAUAUAUGUAUAUAUUAUUUUUUCUGCACAUAUAUAUUUUCUCCCCGGAAUUAGCUUCAAUUAUAACAAGUGAACAUGUAUAGAAAAGGGUGUUCUGUUGGAAAAUGCUUAAGGCAUUCUCGGAUACGUUUGUUGAAGAGUUGGGCCUAGCAAGAUGGCAGCUCAUGUGCAAUAAGUAUUCCCGUGAAGUGCCACUGCUAAGAAGGACUCCAUUAGCUCCCCAAAAGAAGAUGUGUGAUCAGAAGAGGCAGCUGGUUAGAACCCCUAAUGGCUGCUGGACUACCACGCUUCAUAUUCUUAGUUUAAAAAGUUCCUACUUAAAAAGCGACACAAGAGACAGAACUUGGAGGCUUCACAAGUGAACAGCCAAGAGAAUGAAAAGGCCUUCUAUACUCUUUUUGUUUGUUUCAACAUGACUACAUUAAGCACCUCUGCAUUAUUUUAAAAUCUUCUUGACUAGGAGUAGCAAAGAAUCCUGUGGCACCUUAUAGACUAACAGAUGUUUUGGAGCAUGAGCUUUCGUGGGUGAAUACCCACUUCGUCAGCGGGUAUUCACCCAUGAAAGCUCAUGCUCCAAAACGUGUUAGUCUAUAAGGUGCCACAGGAUUCUUUGCUGCUUUUACAGAUCCAGACUAACACGGCUACCCCUCUGAUACUUGACUAGGAGUGGGAUUUUUCAGAAUUGCCUUCGGGAGUUAGGUGCCAAUGGGAGCUGAGUGUCUAACUAGGCUUACUUUAAAAUCUUAGCCUUCAACUGCUGUAAAUUUUCUGACGUUUGAUUUUUGUUGCAAUUUUGGAGUUAAAUGAAAAAAAAUCUGGAAAAAAAGUCAACUAAAGUUUGGUAUGUUUUUUGACCAGUUCUAUUAUCGAUAAAUGUUUCUCUAUGCAACCCAAAGAAAGAGUAGCCAUAACUGCUGUUGUAAAUGCCCUUGUUUCGUCCUAUCUGCAGUUUUAAUUUUGAGGACAUAGUGGGCUACUGAUUUUGCUCCUGUACAUUUUCCCUCACAGAUACCUGCAGGUGCACUUUGUACAACUUAGACGUCUAUGCAUUAUUGCCAACCUCAGGCCUCCAAAAUUGAGAGAUUAUCUUAAGUCACGAGAUUUUUUUUAAAAUAUACAUUUUGGAUUUGCUUUAUUUGCCUUACAGUUUUAGAAUAUUUAGGUUACAGUUGGGUCACAUGUUCAACCUUUACUCUGCAACCAUAAGGGCUAGGAACUUUUUUUAAAAAAUAAAAGCUGAGAUUGUCACA